UACGUAGAGGUGCAAACGUUAUAAGUAUAUUUUCAGAGUGGAUAACGAUGAAGAAAAUGGAAAGGAACGUUUGCCGAAAUCAGUUAAAAGUCGUUUUAACUGGUUGGUGGCGUCUUCGAAAGAACCGUCACUGUCAUAGUCAAUAACAACUAUGGAGCGCUACUGGU
rnacentral:ncRNA from 1 species